AGGCAGCAGUGGGGAAUAUUGCACAAUGGGGGAAACCCUGAUGCAGCCAUGCCGCGUGUGUGAAGAAGGCCUUCGGGUUGUAAAGCACUUUCAGUAGGGAGGAAGGUAGUGUAGUUAACACCUGCACUAUUUGACGUUACCUACAGAAGAAGCACCGGCUAACUCCGUGCCAGCAGCCGCGGUAAUACGGAGGGUGCGAGCGUUAAUCGGAAUUACUGGGCGUAAAGCGCAUGCAGGCGGCCUGUUAAGUCAGAUGUGAAAGCCCGGGGCUUAACCUCGGAAUUGCAUUUGAAACUGGCAGGCUAGAGUCUUGUAGAGGGGGUAGAAUUUCAGGUGUAGCGGUGAAAUGCGUAGAGAUCUGAAGGAAUACCAGUGGCGAAGGCGGCCCCCUGGACAAAGACUGACGCUCAGAUGCGAAAGCGUGGGGAGCAAACAGGAUUAGAUACCCUGGUAG
rnacentral:rRNA from 1 species